UAUUAUUGUUAUUGUGAUUAUUAUUAUUAUUUUAAACAUUAUAUGUGAGUGUUAUUAAUGCCUGUGAAAGAAAUACAUUAGCACUUAGCAGAUGAGUGGGAAGUGUGGGAGCUUCUGCUGUUGCAGUUAUAACUUGUGGAGUCCAAAAGCUGGAACUUUAGGAGGCAGGAUCUCGAUGACUGAAGUCAUCACAAGUCUCAGUUUCCUUCAGUUUUACCUGUAAAAGAAGUUGAUUUGAAUUCAUAGAAGGUUUGACUAAAUAAUGCAGGUGAAAUCUUGUAAUUACUGGCUGUUUUUGUUAAUGUUCAGUAUUUAGUAGGAUUAACUUUUGAGUUUGUUAUAUCAUAUGAACAGUAGACCAAAGGUGAUAGCCUAGUGGUAAAGACCUCUCCCUUUACUGUCACAACUUCAAGUCCAUCCCUCAGCAGCAGAAGUCAGAAUUAAAGCAGGCGCUACAGAAGAUUGAAAGCAAGUUUUUCCCCAGGCCCGUAAGAUGAAAUGUAUCCCUAGAAUUGAAUUGUAAAAGUAUAGAUUUUGAAAAUAAAUAAAUAAAUAAAAGAUCAUAUGAACAGUGAAGAUACGUGGAAAUGGUGUUGCAGGUUACAAAGACAUCAAUCCAGGUAAAUGAUUUGCUUAAAGCUUUAGUAGCUACACUUAUGGUCCUUAUAUGAGGUUUUAAUUUGACAAGGCAUUACUUUGAUGAUCAGGAACAAGUGCAUACUGUGAUUAAGCUUGAUUCAUUAUAUUGUAAUAAAUAUUUGCUGCUCUGUUUAAAUGUAAGGUGCCGUUUGUUUGCAUAUUAAUGGGCCUGAACAGUCCAAUAUCUGAGCACACUUGGACAGUGUGCAUUUCUGUUCUCUUUUCUCAUGCGGCGAUUGCGUUCUCUAACCUAACCAGGUAAUCUUUCUCCCGUUCCAUCGUUCUAACUCCCGAUCACUAUCUAUAUUUCUCAUUCAUCGUUUGAUCUGGGUAUUUUGGAGAAGCCAUUGGUGGAAGAAUGCAGUGUAGUAGAUGGAAUAGAAAAUUUGUUGAUUUUUGUCCUGAACAACUUCAUUGAAGGCUCACUCAAAUUGAAGGCAUGGAGCAGCAGUAAUGAAGCUGCAAGUGAUAUGCUGAAACUAAUCCAACUUGUUAUUAUGGUUGUGUAAAUUUGCUUCUUUUCUUUUUAAUUUUCAUUUGUAUGAUGAUAAUCUGUGUGAACAUUUUUAUUUAUUAUGGUCUUGUGAGUUUGCUUCUCUUUCUUUCUUUUUAAUUUUCACUUGUAUGUUGGCAAUACGUGUUUGUGAACACAUUUUUGGGAACUGAACUCAAUUUUAGUAUGAGUUAUUGAUAGGUAUCCUUUUAUUAGUUUGUUGAACUUUUAAUAAUCGAUGAAUCCUAAACGGCAAAACUAAUGAUUUGGUCAUCGAAGUUGGCAUGUUUUAUUGAAUAACUGAUUUUAAUUUGUCAAAUUAAUUAACUGAACUAAUUAAAAUUUUCAAAUUGGAUCAGUCCGUUAAAAAAAAUACACACGUUGACUUUUUAUCUAUGUGGCGCUAGAAAAAAUAUACAAAAAUUAAAAAUAUUACAUGUGGCAAAAAAAUAAAUAAAAAACUUCAACCCUGACUUUCUACAUCAACAAAAUAAUAAUAUAUAAUCAAUUAAAAUUUUAAUUCAUUAAAUCAAUCAGAUUACAUAUGGAAGAACAGAUCAAAAAAAAAUCUUCAUCUUUCCUAAAAAGCACUUUUAAUUGUUGAAAUUGAUCUUAAAAUAAACCACAAGGCAGAACAUAAAAACUCUAGGGGAUCAUUGUAUGGGAGAAUCAUUGAGGUUGACAUGAGGCAUAGAAGCAGCAAAUGAUACACACACCUGAUGGAAACAAAUUCCUCCCAAUCAUUCAAUCCCUGCCUUGCAAUCGUACUCUUCAUAUGCCCAACCUCCGAACUGUUGGCAGGAGAAUUUCCAUCCACAAACCGAGGAUUUUCACUUCUCAACAUAAUCUGAAUCAAUACUAUUCUUUAAUGUUGACUGCUUAACUAGCUUCCCAUGUUCAUCAUAAACAUCGAGAUUAUCGCAAGGAGCCGUGGAGGAGGUGGAGGCGGUGGUGGUGGAAGAAGAGAGAAAAAGAACAGAUCUGUUGCCUAAAUACCGUGGCCACCAAGAAGAGAGAGAAGAAGAACAGAUCUGCCGCCUAAAUCCGUGGCUACCACCCUCUGCCGCCUAAAUCCCCCUCUUCACCACCGUCGCUGCCUCCUCGGCAUCCACAUCCUUCCACCCUCCUCGAAUAACAGAUCUAAAAAAUGAUGGGAAUUAAAAAAAUAAAAUGGAAGAACAGAUCUAAAAAAAUGGAAACAGAAUAAUUUGAUUUGGAAGGGGAGAUAAUUAAAUUAAUUUUUUGGAUGAAAUUAAAACAUAAAAUUAUGAUUUUAAUUUUAAUGUUUAGUUAUUAAUAUUAUCUUUUUUAAGG
rnacentral:lncRNA from 1 species